GUCCUUGUUUAAGAGGAUCUCGAAGCCAUCUUCUGUGCUCCACACCAGCCGUAGUUUCUCCUCGGGCCUCCAGCACUCUCUGUCCUCCAGCGAGAGCCUCCCUGGAUCACCCACUCACAGCCUGUCCCCUAGCCCCACCACGCCCUGCCGCAGCCCUGCCCCCGACGUCCCCACAGGUGGGUGGGUUCUCAGUCUGGGCCACAGGUUAGAGGACAGAGGAAACUGCUGCCGGGUAGUCAGUGCCCUUCAUCCCGGCACUUAAGAGAUGAGGCAGAAAAACAAGGGUUCAUGGAACUCCACCUCGAAUAUGAAUAUAUAUGCAUAUCUGUGACAAUAAUCAGUAAGGAGCCUUAGUGUGUGCUUGAGCUGAGUGG
rnacentral:lncRNA from 1 species